AACUAAAUAGUUUAACUUUAAAAUACAUGGUUUGCAUUCAUGAGAUAGAUCUUUCUUUUAGUUG
rnacentral:tRNA from 1 species